UACGAAGGGGGCUAGCGUUGCUCGGAAUCACUGGGCGUAAAGGGUGCGUAGGCGGGUCUUUAAGUCAGGGGUGAAAUCCUGGAGCUCAACUCCAGAACUGCCUUUGAUACUGGGAGUCUUGAGUUCGGGAGAGGUGAGUGGAACUGCGAGUGUAGAGGUGAAAUUCGUAGAUAUUCGCAAGAACACCAGUGGCGAAGGCGGCUCACUGGCCCGAUACUGACGCUGAGGUGCGAAAGCGUGGGGAGCAAACAGG
rnacentral:rRNA from 1 species